rnacentral:rRNA from 1 species
AUGGAAGCUAUUUUGUCGGCUGUUAUAGGCGACUUUGUCAGCAGAUUCAUCUCCUUUAUGACAAGCAAGUAUUCAGAUCUUGCAUGUUCAGAGGAGAAGCAGGUGGAGAGGUUGCAGCAACUCCUUGUAAGAGUUCACGCCGUGGUUGAGGAGGCGAACGGGCGAUACAUCACCAACUCUGGUAUGCUCCUACAACUGAAGAUGCUGGCUGAGGCUAUGUACAAUGGUUAUCAUGCCCUAGACACCGUCAAGUGCAAUCGACUGAUCAAAGAGGGCUCCAACGAAGGUACGAGUGGCCCAUUUGCGUUGUGCCUUGGCACUCCUCUCAAGCGCGCUCGUGCAAACAGCAGUAGAUCAAAUCACAGAGUUGGUGGCUCCGACCUGCUGCAUGGUACCUUGUCAAAUCUAGAAGCUUUAGUUUCUAACCUGACGGAGUUUGCUAUACUUUUGGGAGGAUGCGAGCGCAUGUCCCGUAGACCCUAUGACACCUAUCUGUACGUUGACAACUUCAUGUUCGGUCGCAGUAUCGAGAAGCAGAAAGUUCUGAACUUCUUGUUACUUCAUCAUAACGCUCCUGGUUCUCCAGCUGUGCUUCCAAUCACCGGUGACAACCUAGUCGGAAAGAAAACUCUGGUAGCAAAUGUAUGCAACGAUAAGAGGGUCCGCGGUCACUUCGCUUCGGUUUUGCACCUCAAUGGAGACAAGUUCUGCGCAGAAGACCAUGGAAGGUGUGCGUCUGCAGCAGGAAGGACAUUGAUUGUUGUCAUAUUUGCUUCAGAUGUUGAUUGUGAGGAAUGGAAGAAGAUUCACCAUGCAGUGGCAUGCAUAAACACAGAAAGCAAGGUCAUAAUCGUAAGCAGGAAGGAAAGUUGAGUGAAAUAUGGUACUGUGAAGCCAAUCCGCCUAACUAGAUUACCAGCCGAGGAGUACAUCUACCUCUUCAAGACACUGGCAUUUGGAAGUGCAGACCCAGAGGACCACCCGAAUCUGACACCAAUUGCAAUAGAGUUGGCGACAAUGUUGGGAGGGUCAUUUGUGGCAGCAUACUCACUUGCCAGUGUGCUGAGGAAGGAUGUAAGCUUUCAGUUCUGGCUUUCUAUUUUCAACAGGUACAAGAAUGUGACCGAGAAUAACUUGUCCAUGUUCGGCGAGCAUCUGUCGCUCCGUAUCAGAAGGCGCGCUCCGGUAGACAUCACAAGCUUUCUUCCAUCUCCUGCUGCUCCAUUGUUGCUUACUCGUCCUCGAACUGAAACCGAGGUUUCCCAGAGGAGACUACCUAAAGUGACGAUGGCGGACCUCAUAGUGGAUCCUACCAUCCGUCCCAAGGGUGACUUCGAUUUAGUGAAAUGGAAAUCACGGUUGCCACCUUAUACCGAGUUUAGCUACUUCGUUCCAUCUUGUGCUAAACAGAGGCAUAAAACAACCGCAAGGAGGAAGCGUGAAGCAGCUAUUUGUCCCUAG